GUGGUAUCCAAAACAAAGCGCGCGCAGGCCAUUGGAAAGAGAGAGGAAUCAGUCUACCCAUGUGGACUUCCCCCAACUUCCAGGCUAGCUAUGAUCUACAUCCCCUUCCCCCACCCCGCUUCUAAGACUUGUUUGCUGAGGGGUAUUACUUUUUUAAGAGCGAGAUCGCAUGGAGGAUGGCACAAUGCAAUAGCGGCGGCUCAGGGGGGGUGCCUUCAUUUUUCCUUUUGUGUACUUUUAACGUUUCCACAACGAGGCACUCGGCUUGGGUAAAAGUUGCAGAGGCGGGAUCGACGUGAGAAAAAAGUUAAGCGCAAAGAAAGCCCGAGCUCUUGGCUGCGCCUUUGUUUGGUGCCGGGGGACGCGAGGAGCGGGCGCACACCCGAGGGGCGGCGGGCGAGGGAGAGCCACUUAGCUCAGAUAGACGGACCCGCAGCAAUUGCAUUGUUUUCUCCUUCCCCCCCCCCCCGCUCCGUCCAACCGUUUGAAAGAGGAAGGAGGAGAAAGCGGAAGGGGUUAUCCUUCUGUCUCCUAAGGUAAACAGUGUGAAUAUCUCUGAAUCAGGAUACCUGCCAGCAAGCUACGUCUAAAUCUGUAUCAACCAGAACCAGACAGAUGCCAUGUUUUAUUAACCUUCUCAUUGUGGAAUACAGUAUAAUCCAAAGAAGACACCAAUAUUUGGAUUUAUAAGUUGGAAGAAUUUCUCCAAAUGGAAGCCGGUGAAAAUUGUAGUUGAAUGGCUUGGUCACCUCCGUGAUUCAGAAUAAGGGUUUGUCCCAGAUACCAUUCCAUUAUCACAGGAGAGCCGUGGUUGCUGGUAAACAUCUUGCAGGUAGAACUCGUGUCAGUGCAGUGAAUGAUGAUUUAUCUUUGAGAGAGCCAGUAAUUAAAGGAUUUACUUGUGGGACUGUGAGUUCCUUCCUGUUGCAGGACAGUUACCUGAGGCUGUCUCUUCAAUCAGUAACUGAGCCCAAGAUAGAAUCACCAGCACCACCAGCACAAGAACCUAUCUUGUGGAUGAUGGAGACCUAAAGGAAGUAGCUUAUGCAAUCCAAAACCAAAAUGAAAUUGAAGAGAAAUAUAACAUAAAAUAUGUGCAGGUUGCCUCAGCCACAACCAGAAAAGCCGGCAGCUGCUGAUGGAGGCCUCCUCCUGCUUAUCCUGAGGGCCACCCUGUUAUGUCUUAAAAGGCUUUGCUGUAUCCCCGCCAUCUGCUCCCCAAUGACAGUGUGCCUGAGUUUUGUUCGCCUUCACUGCUCUCAUCCUUUUGGGUGGCAGCUGACAACGGGCAAUGUUCCCGUUCUCCUCUGUUUUUUUCCACUAAGAAGGCAAUCCUGCCUCACCUCCCGGUUUUUUGAAGAGCUGUGCAGUUGGUGAUUUAAGGCAGUGAGGAUAGGCAUAGCGCACGCCUGAUUUAUAACCAUUUCUGCAUGAUGCCACACCUGUCUGGUGUUUAAAAAAACUGGCCUGGUCACAUUGUGCCAAGAUAACGGUUUUGCCUAUAUAGAGAAAUCAUGAAGAUUAUCUACAUGAAAUGACAUGACAUGACAUCAUGUGUGCACAUUUGGGCAGGCCUGCCUCCAGAUGUGUUUUUAAGCUUAUUGGGGAAUGGCUAAAGGUUGGCGAUGAAGCAACCCUAGCAUUUCUAGGUAGAGCUGUGAGAAAUCCCUUCCCAAAAACCGGGGGAGCUGUUGCAAGUCAGGAUCGACAAUACUGGGAUAGAUGAUCUGGCUCUACAUAAAGCAGAUUUCUGUACCUCAUUUCCUGGGUUUUACCUAUAUUCUAGCCUUGCUGCUUAGAAUCCCACAGACUCCCACCUUUCAUUUUCUGGCCAAAGUCUCCAGCCCUUACAGAAGCGGAAACAGGAGGCAAAAUGUGCAGGCUGUAUCCUUUCCAGUGCUUUUGUGAGAAUUGAGCCUGCUAUCAACUAUCAGUGUUACCACUGAGUAUAGUCACAGCAGUAAUCCAUAGAGAUAAAAACAAGAGCGUGACACACCCGUUGUCUGAAGAAAGGGCUUCCUGGUUUAUUUCUCUCUCUCCCCUCUCCCCACCCUGGUCAUCCUUGGUGGCAAAGUGAUUGCUGCUCCUAGAAAACAAUUCAGAAAUCCGUAGGUUUUGUGUAGCUGUUAUGGGGUAGGAACUUUUUUACCCUAAUGCAAAAGAUAGCAGCAAAGUUGGAAGUUUCCUAUUCAAGUCUUGACACUUGUGAGUUUUAUAUAUUUGGAAAAUCACCUGGCCAAUACAAAUACAAAUCCAGUUGUUUUUCCUGUAAGGAAACAUGAGAACAUUGGUUAAGCCCACUCCGCAGUGUAGUCCAGUUUUGUUACACCCACAUUGCUGGUGGGAGAGCUAAUGCAUGACAACCUUGUAGUAUAAUCCAGUAGUUGUUAUCAUGUUUCCUGGAUUGUUGGGAUUUUUUAGGGGAAUUCAACCAGAGGGGGCUGACUCAACUCCUCUUUCCCCCUCGUUCCUAAUCCCAGUUCAUAUUCUCCUUACUGACCUUACUUCCUCCUAUCCCCAGAGUACAAAUAACUGUGCUAAAAAAGAACUAGCAGAAGGUUUUAAUAGUUUCAUAACUUAAUGGCACAAUCCUGUGCAUAUCUACUUAGAAGUAAGUCCUACUGAGUUUGAUAGGACUUGCUAACUGGAAGUUAGUAAGUUCUGCAGUUUAAGGCUAUAGUCCAGGCAUCCCCAAACUUCGGCCCUCCAGAUGUUUUGGACUACAAUUCCCAUCUUCCCUGACCACUGGUCCUGUUAAGUUGUAGGUCAAAACAUCUGGAGGGCUGCAGUUUGGGGAUGCCUGCAGUCCUUUACCCAUUGACCUGCAGUAAGCUCAGCAGGUGAGCUUAAGGGACGCAGGUGGCUUGCUGAUCAGAAGGUCGGGGUUCGAAUCCCUGUGACGGGGUGAGCUCCCGUUGCUCGGUCCCAGCUCCUGCCAACCUAGCAGUUCAAAAGCACGUCAAAGUGCAAGUAGAUAAAUAGGGACCGCUACAGCGGGAAGGUAAACGGCGUUUCCGUGUGCUGCUCUGGUUUGCCAGAAGCGGCUUUGUCAUGCUGGCUACAUGACCUGGAAGCUAUACGCCGGCUCCCUCGGCCAAUAAUGCGAGAUGAGCGCGCAACCCCAGAGUCGGUAACGACUGAACCUAAUGGCCAGGGGUCCCUUUACCUUUUACUUUAAGCUCAGCUCAACUCAACUCAGUGAGACCUACUUCCAACAGUGGCGUGGAUGGGUCUGCAGUGCUGCCUAGGCUUCUCAAGGCCGUGUGUUGCUGCAGGUUACCAAGAGGGAGAGGUGGAGGGGCAAGGCAGCAGGGAGGUCAGCAUGGUGCAACGUAGUGGCAGAACCAUCUGAUUGGAAACAUGAGACCAAGCAAAUGAAAAUGUCUGGACUGUGGGCAUUUCCAUAAUCCUACAAAGUCAAAAUCAACCAAGGCAAGCUUCUCUGUGUAUGAUUUCUAGGCAUCUGUUGCCAGGGCACAUUUGGAAGCAUAAGACCUAGAUACAGAAUCAAGAGAGGAAGUGUGUGUGUGUGUGUGUGUGUGUGUAAUAGUUUGACACCCCAAGAGGGAAAUAAUUGGGAGAUUAUUUGCAUAAAGAUCCCCAUCAUUCUCUAAGUAUUACAGAGAGAACUGAAGUGCCUAUGAUGAACUUUGGCAUAUAUGCCUAUGUGGCAUAUUUUACGUGCCUACAGUGUGGUACUGUCUUCUUCCUCUCAAAAUUGAUGUUACAGGCAGAGAAGUCUUGGAUAAAGCAGGGUUGCAGCUGCAGAACAUUUCCCACACCAGGCAGGAUAUGCAAAAGUAUUUUGGGUGUAGGGAACGAGAGGGUGAGGUUUGCAUAUUCACUGCUGGCAAAACAAACCUCCUGCAUCUUUUUCUUUCCUGUUGCUAAAAUCUUUCAGGCUUGUUUUCUAUACACCAUGAUUCAGGGCAACAGGAAAAGUCAUUUGGUUU